rnacentral:rRNA from 2 species
CAAUAAGCGGAGGAAAAGAAACCAACAGGGAUUGCCCUAGUAACGGCGAGUGAAGCGGCAACAGCUCAAAUUUGAAAUCUGGCUUCGGCCCGAGUUGUAAUUUGCAGAGGAAGCUUUGGGCGCGGCACCGACUGAGUCCCCUGGAACGGGGCGCCAUAGAGGGUGAGAGCCCCGUAUAGUCGGACGCCUAGCCUGUGUAAAGCUCCUUCGACGAGUCGAGUAGUUUGGGAAUGCUGCUCAAAAUGGGAGGUAAAUUUCUUCUAAAGCUAAAUACCGGCCAGAGACCGAUAGCGCACAAGUAGAGUGAUCGAAAGAUGAAAAGCACUUUGAAAAGAGGGUUAAAUAGCACGUGAAAUUGUUGAAAGGGAAGCGCUUGUGACCAGACUUGCGCCUGGCUGAUCAUCCGGUGUUCUCACCGGUGCACUCUGCCAGGCUCAGGCCAGCAUCGGUUCUCGCGGGGGGAUAAAGGCCUCGGGAACGUAGCUCCUCCGGGAGUGUUAUAGCCCGGGGUGCAAUGCCCUCGCGGGGACCGAGGUUCGCGCAUCUGCAAGGAUGCUGGCGUAAUGGUCAUCAGCGACCCGUCUUGAAACACGGACCAAGGAGUCAAGGUUUUGCGCGAGUGUUUGGGUGUCAAACCCGCACGCGUAAUGAAAGUGAACGUAGGUGAGAGCUUCGGCGCAUCAUCGACCGAUCCUGAUGUUUUCGGAUGGAUUUGAGUAGGAGCGUUAAGCCUUGGACCCGAAAGAUGGUGAACUAUGCUUGGAUAGGGUGAAGCCAGAGGAAACUCUGGUGGAGGCUCGCAGCGGUUCUGACGUGCAAAUCGAUCGUCAAAUCUGAGCAUGGGG